rnacentral:rRNA from 4 species
UUUGACCUCGGAUCAGGUAGGAAUACCCGCUGAACUUAAGCAUAUCAAUAAGCGGAGG